rfam:Perkinsus marinus ATCC 50983 gcontig_1104296576706, whole genome shotgun sequence.
ACUAAAGAAUGACGAAGGCACCACCAGAGUGGAGCUGCGCUUAUUGAUCACACGGAAACUCACCAGUCCAGACAUAGAGAUGACAGAUGAUAGCUCUUCUGAUCUAUGGUGUGUGCAUGCCGUCUUAGUUGUGAGUGAUUGUCUGGUUAAUUCCGUAACGAACGAGACCUAACCUGCUAAAUAGUGCGCGAAACUUUAUGUUUCGUCGCUACUUCUUAGAGGGACUUUGUGUGUUUAACACAAGGAAGCUUGAGGCAAUAACAGGUCUGUGAUGCCCUUAGAUGUUCUGGGCUGCACGCGCGCUACACUGACACGAUCAACAAGUAUUUCCUUGCCCGGUAGGGUUAGGGUAAUCUUUUGAAAUCGUGUCGUGCUAGGGAUAGACGAUUGCAAUUAUUCGUCUUCAACGAGGAAUUCCUAGUAAAUGCAAGUCAUCAGCUUGCGUUGAUUACGUCCCUGCCCUUUGUACACACCGCCCGUCGCUCCUACCGAUUGAGUGAUCCGGUGAGCUGUCCGGACUGCGAUUAGUUCAGUUUCUGUUCUCUUCGCGGGAAGUUCUGCAAACCUUAUCACUUAGAGGAAGGAGAAGUCGUAACAAGGUUUCCGUAGGUGAACCUGCGGAAGGAUCAUUC